rnacentral:antisense_RNA from 1 species
UUCGGUACGACAUUGCUCACAUUGCUUCCAGUAUUUUUGCCCGCAUUCUAUGCGGGCUUUUUUU